GGGCAUGGCGGCAGCUACACAUGCAGUCGAGCGGUAGCACAGAGAGCUUGCUCUCGGGUGACGAGCGGCGGACGGGUGAGUAAUGUCUGGGAAACUGCCUGAUGGAGGGGGAUAACUACUGGAAACGGUAGCUAAUACCGCAUAAUGUCGCAAGACCAAAGUGGGGGACCUUCGGGCCUCAUGCCAUCAGAUGUGCCCAGAUGGGAUUAGCUAGUAGGUGGGGUAACGGCUCACCUAGGCGACGAUCCCUAGCUGGUCUGAGAGGAUGACCAGCCACACUGGAACUGAGACACGGUCCAGACUCCUACGGGAGGCAGCAGUGGGGAAUAUUGCACAAUGGGCGCAAGCCUGAUGCAGCCAUGCCGCGUGUGUGAAGAAGGCCUUCGGGUUGUAAAGCACUUUCAGCGGGGAGGAAGGCGGUAAGGUUAAUAACCUUGUCGAUUGACGUUACCCGCAGAAGAAGCACCGGCUAACUCCGUGCCAGCAGCCGCGGUAAUACGGAGGGUGCAAGCGUUAAUCGGAAUUACUGGGCGUAAAGCGCACGCAGGCGGUCUGUCAAGUCGGAUGUGAAAUCCCCGGGCUCAACCUGGGAACUGCAUUCGAAACUGGCAGGCUAGAGUCUUGUAGAGGGGGGUAGAAUUCCAGGUGUAGCGGUGAAAUGCGUAGAGAUCUGGAGGAAUACCGGUGGCGAAGGCGGCCCCCUGGACAAAGACUGACGCUCAGGUGCGAAAGCGUGGGGAGCAAACAGGAUUAGAUACCCUGGUAGUCCACGCCGUAAACGAUGUCGAUUUGGAGGUUGUGCCCUUGAGGCGUGGCUUCCGGAGCUAACGCGUUAAAUCGACCGCCUGGGGAGUACGGCCGCAAGGUUAAAACUCAAAUGAAUUGACGGGGGCCCGCACAAGCGGUGGAGCAUGUGGUUUAAUUCGAUGCAACGCGAAGAACCUUACCUGGUCUUGACAUCCACAGAACUUUCCAGAGAUGGAUUGGUGCCUUCGGGAACUGUGAGACAGGUGCUGCAUGGCUGUCGUCAGCUCGUGUUGUGAAAUGUUGGGUUAAGUCCCGCAACGAGCGCAACCCUUAUCCUUUGUUGCCAGCGGUUAGGCCGGGAACUCAAAGGAGACUGCCAGUGAUAAACUGGAGGAAGGUGGGGAUGACGUCAAGUCAUCAUGGCCCUUACGACCAGGGCUACACACGUGCUACAAUGGCAUAUACAAAGAGAAGCGACCUCGCGAGAGCAAGCGGACCUCAUAAAGUAUGUCGUAGUCCGGAUUGGAGUCUGCAACUCGACUCCAUGAAGUCGGAAUCGCUAGUAAUCGUAGAUCAGAAUGCUACGGUGAAUACGUUCCCGGGCCUUGUACACACCGCCCGUCACACCAUGGGAGUGGGUUGCAAAAGAAGUAGGUAGCUUAACCUUCGGGAGGGCGCUACCACUUUGUAUCAUGGC
rnacentral:rRNA from 1 species